rnacentral:rRNA from 1 species
AUUGAACGCUGGCGGAAUGCUUUACACAUGCAAGUCGAACGGCAGCACGGACUUCGGUCCGGUGGCGAGUGGCGAACGGGUGAGUAAUGUAUCGGAACGUGCCCAGUCGUGGGGGAUAACGUAGUGAAAAUUACGCUAAUACCGCAUACGAUCUAUGGAUGAAAGCGGGGGAUCGCAAGACCUCGCGCGAUUGGAGCGGCCGAUAUCAGAUUAGGUAGUUGGUGGGGUAAAGGCCCACCAAGCCAGCGAUCUGUAGCUGGUCUGAGAGGACGACCUGCCACACUGGAACUGAGACACGGUCCAGACUCCUACGGGAGGCAGCAGUGGAGAAUUUUGGACAAUGGGCGAAAGCCUGAUCCAGCCAUUCCGCGUGCAGGAUGAAGGCCCUCGGGUUGUAAACUGCUUUUGUACAGAACGAAAAGGUUUCUACUAAUACUAGGAGCUCAUGACGGUACUGUAAGAAUAAGCACCGGCUAACUACGUGCCAGCCGCCGCAGUAA